CAAGCCGCGCGAUAACACCCCACUCCUUCUUUCAAUCUUUCAUCCCAUCAAAAAAUCCCAAAAUCAGUUUCAUCUUUCUUCCCCAAAGUCAUGGCUUUCUUCAGAAAACUUAAUUGCAUCUUUCUUCCCUAAACCUUAAUCCCCAAAUUAGUUUGUUACCAUCCUCUGUUGUAAGCUUUCUCAAUCACUUCGAAUUCUCCAUACACACAAUCUACUGUAAGCUUUCUCUCUAUAAUAAGAUAUUAAUUUAAUUUCCCUGCUUAUCAGCUUGGUCUUCGCUCAAUCUGGGAGUCACACGCUGUUAUAGGUGUUUUUUGUCCCUCACGAUUUGAAGAUGUGAAGUCUGCAAUUGGUUAGUGAGACAUGAUUUUACUAUUUAUAAAUAACUAUAUUUUUCUAUAAUUUUUUUAAUAAAGUUAAAAGCCAUAAGUUGUUCCAAAAGCUUCCGCAGUUGAUUAUUGGGUUAAAUAUGUUAGAAUUUCUUUGAUUGGUGUAGGAACUGUGUAUACAUAUUUUCUUUGAUUCUGGAAAAUUUGAGUUGAAAUUGAAUUGUCUAGAGGUCAUAAGCUGUUAGUAAGCUGUUUUGGGAAUUUUGCCUUAAAUGACUAAGUUGUGGAUUAAUCUGCUGUAUAAUGUGGAUUACUCUUAUUUAUGAUUUAAUGGGUUGGAUUUUGAUAUUAGGGGUUCGUUUAAAAGCUUUCUCGCUUUCUCCUUUGUCAAUUUUUGGUUUUGGUAAGCUUUCUCCUUUCUCCUGUAAUUUGUUUUUUUUAUUAUUAUUAGUUUUUUAGCGUACAAGGUUGGUGAAUUUUGAUAUUUCAUGCUAUUUGUUUAUUAUAGUAAAAUGAUUUGCAUCGUGGAUUGAAAUGUUGGAAUAUGUACUUGGCAUGAAUGUAGAGAAACUUGAGCCAUUUUAGAUUUACUUAUUUAAGUUUUUUUAUUGACAUAAACUUUGUGAGAUUGUAAGGGAGAACUUAUGACAUUUUUCAUAAAAUUUUUCCAACUUAUUUCAUAAGUGGUCCAAGCUUAGCUUACAUAAACAGCUUAUAACAUAUACAAAAACAAGUUUAUUUUUACACAUACAAGCUUUGUGCUAUAAGUUGGAAAUAAGUUGUUUAUCGUAUUCCGGCGUACUUGUACUAUGAGUGGCGGUGGAAUCCAAUUAGUUGUCUUUGUAGAUGAGGAAAGAAGAGCCAGAGAUGGGGAAUUUGAUUUUUCUGGUGGUUUUUGUUAUCUCUGUCGUGGACUGUGUUGUUUGUGCGGUUUGUCCUAGUUGCUAAGGCGCUCUGUGGUACUGCUUGUUUUCUUUUCUUCACCUGUGGUGUCCCCUUCUUUCGCUGAUACAAGGAGGGGCUGUUUGCUCGCUAGCUUAUCUCCUAUAGCUGCUGAUACAAGGAGGGGCUGUUACGGCGUGCUGAUUUGUUCUUUUUGUAACUAGUUCUUUUGUUUAUUCUGAUAGAUAGUUGCUUCUAGUGAGGACAUAAUUUGUUGCUUAAGAUUCUCA
rnacentral:lncRNA from 1 species